rnacentral:rRNA from 1 species
UGGGGAAUCUUGCGCAAUGGGCGAAAGCCUGACGCAGCGACGCCGCGUGGGGGAUGAAGGCCUUCGGGUUGUAAACCUCUUCGGCAGGGACGAAACUGACGUGUACCUGCAGAAGAAGCGCCGGCUAACUACGUGCCAGCAGCCGCGGUAAUACGUAGGGCGCGAGCGUUGUCCGGAAUUAUUGGGCGUAAAGAGCUCGUAGGCGGCCGGUCGCGUCUGCCGUGAAAGCCCACGGCUCAACCGUGGGACUGCGGUGGAUACGGGCCGGCUAGAGGCAGGCAGGGGCAAGUGGAAUUCCUGGUGUAGCGGUGAAAUGCGCAGAUAUCAGGAGGAACACCGGUGGCGAAGGCGGCUUGCUGGGCCUGUCCUGACGCUGAGGAGCGAAAGCGUGGGGAGCGAACAGGAUUAGAUACC